GGCUGGUAUCCCAGGCCGGCAGCAGGCUGAGCAGGGCCGAUAGCUGGGACUCCAGCUAGCAAGGGGCUGGUGGCCAGAACCCCAGACUGUCAGCGGGCUGAGCCAGGU